rnacentral:lncRNA from 1 species
UUUUCUUACAUCAACAGCCGACUCCUUCUACCCUGUCAAAAGCAAUUCGCCAUUUUCCUAGUUAGAAACUCAAUUUCGCCAGAAAUUUUCCAGCGACAAUUUCAAUAGUUUGAGAAAUAAGGUGAAUUCCUUGAUUUUCCAUCUUGUGCAGUACGAGCUUGAAGAAAAAGUUAUGUUUGAAUUUUAGGGUUUUUCCGAAAAUUGGGGAUUUAAUGUUUGAGUUGAAGUUUGAUCUUGAUAUUGAGAUAUAUUAUGUUUCAAGUGUUCCUAAGCAUGAUUAUGAUGGUUAAUUGCAUAAAUUCUUACUUGAUUUUGGAUUUUUCUCAAGUUAGUGUAAACCCUAGGUUUGAGUUCGAAAAUUCUGAUUAUGUUCUUGAAUAAAUGAGUUUAUACAUGUGCUCUUGAGCUGGAAUUAUGUUAUAUAUGAGUAUAUUAUGAGUUUGCACUGUAUGGUUGUGAGAUUGAUUUUGUUAGUUUAGGUGAAGUUGGGGCUUUUGAAUUGAGAAGGUUUAUAUGCUAUUGUUUGAUGGAGAUAUGUAUACUAUAAUGUGAUUUUAUUAAUUAUUGAGGUUAGAAUAGCCCUACUACCCAAUUCUUUUGUAAAGCUCUGUUGUAUAAACAGUAGGGAAGUGAUAAAGUUGUUAUUUUUAUGCAUAUAGUUGAGAUUAGUAGUAUUGAUUGAGGUUAAUUUAGCUCAUUGAGGUUUCUUUUUAAAGAGAUUGAGAUGAUUGAUAAUGUUAGUUUAUUAAACUAUAUAUAUGCGUAUUUAUUGAGAGUUGAUGAACAUCAUUUAACUCAUUCUUUUAUCUUUCCUUAUUGAAUUUAGAGAAAUGGUUUUAGUAUGUUGAUGAUGUGACGUGAGGAAAUGUUAGGAUAAUAAGUAAAUAGCAAGUAUGAGUUAUCGUUGUAAUAUUAUAUAUAUAUAUAUAUAUAUAUAUAUAUUUUUCCUUACUCAUUUUUCUUACAAAAAAUCUUUAUCUAUUUAAAGGUUCCGGCUAGGAACGAGCCCGACACUAGAGUACGAAGUAAGAGAAACAUAUCAGGUGGGCUUACUAACUCAAGAAACAAAGAUGCAUACUUAUAUAUAUAAAGUUUAAGUGUAUGCAUUUAUUUUCAAAUUGUUGACUUGCCAAUGUUUAAGAUUUGUAUGAUACCAUCUACAUAGAAGAACGAAUUCGGGUCCUGAGCGAGUCAGGAUUUGUGUACACAGAGUGACGGUUAACCUUGAGUUAGCUUGUCGUUACGUUUGGGAAGGAGGCCUACUUCUCAACGUGUUUAUUGAGACUAGUAGAUAUGGUACAUACUUAUAUGAGAACUUAGUCUGCGCAGACACUUUCAAAUACUAUGUAAAAACAGUUUAGCAAACACAGGUUGCUUCAGAAAAUCCCUUGUGUAUUGCUUAAAGUGGCAAGUUCAAUAUAUAGCAUUAUCAUGCAGAGUUUUAAAUGUUUUCGGCAUAUGUUCACUGAGUGCUUGUGGUACUCAGCCCUGCAUAUCUUUCUAAAUGUGCAGGUUAAGUUUGGAUGAAGAUGGAAGUGUGCUGAGCUGGAGCUUUUUGUUAUGUAAAUAGUAAUAGGCUCAGGAUGUUGUGUCUUCAUACAUAACGUCCAAUGAUGUACUCCGCUGCAACACUUUAUUUCUCUUAUCACUUUUGACGUGUUGUAGAAUGUUUGAAAACCUUAACCUGUAUAUGAGCUAGUUAAAUCUUGGUUAUGAUAUGUAUUUGGUUUAAACUUCUUUUGUUAAAGGUUGGUGGUUAUAUAUGUGAGUUAAUUAUUUAUUUGUCUUAGUUUCCUUUCAAUUACUUUCUCUCGUUCUCCACCCUAGUCGUACGAUACCUGGUCUAGCUAUGUUUCUCCUAGGCCGGGCUGCGACAAAGUGGUAUCAGAGCAGGCCCUUUGCUCUGAGCCUAAUUUAUUUUGAGUUUAGUCUAGAUUGUAUCUCUAGACUACUAGAAUAUUAAUGAUGAAUGCUCAGCGCGCACACCAUAUCAUCCAGCUUAAUCAGGUAUGAGUUUAAAUUAUUUUCUUCCUUUUGGUAAAAAAAUUAUGAUGUGAUUUAAAGAGUUUGAGUUACUGAUAAAUGAAAUGAUGGAUGAUACUAUUUAUGAGAUUCUUGGAGUGAUGUUUCAGUUUAGAAUGGAUAUGAAUUUUAUUACAUGAAUUAUGAGAUUGUUUUGGGUUAUUAUUGUUCAUUUCAAACUUGUUAUGAUUUUGUAAGUAAGAUAAUGUCUAAUUAUUCAAGUAUGUGUUAUUUGAGUGAACUAUUUCAUUAUUUGGGAGAUUUAUUAGGAGUUAGUUUUUAUGAGUAUUAUGUUAAGCUAAGUUGUAAAGGUUAUAUUGGGCAGGAUGGCUCGUACCCUACGUACCGCGAGGAAGAGAGUUAGUGCUAGAGCGACACGGGAUGAGAUCCGCUGGGAGUACCUUCACUAUGGCAUGUGCUGGAGAGACACAUUGGGGGAAUUUCUUGCCCACUUCCAUGAGCACUGGUUGGCAGCUAGUAUGUAUGGGAUCUCCUCGUAUGAUGGCAUUAUUCGACUGUUGACUCUACUUCCAUCCGACUGGAAGGGUUGGGCGACCUCCAUUGCCUCAGACUACUUAUACCAUUAUGGUUAAGAGUACGACCUGUAUGUAGAUUUUCCAGGUUUCGUGGCAGCGGUUAGUCAUCAGUAUUACCGCUAUGGGGCAGCUCCUUAUGGACCAUACACAUUACCAGGAGACUACAUCCAAGCUGGAGGAGGAAUUGCCGAUUUCUUACCACGAGAUGACCCUGCUCCGUAUGUGCCGCCCGAGCCAGUUCAGGUGGCCCCACUCCUCGAGUCUGACACUGAUGACGAGAUAGCUGCUCUACUUCGUUCUCCUACACCGAUUUACAUAGUGGUUUCCUCUGAUAGUGAGACAACUUCUCAACAAACACUCACGUUUGACUGUACCAUCCUUGGAACCCGCACCCGCGACGAGUUUGAAGCUGGACCUUCCAGACCGCCUGGUGUACCUCGAGAUCAUGUGGAUUCUCCUGGAAUGCAGCCAGCUGUUGGAACCAUACGCCGAGAACCGAUAGAUCUAAAUCAAGCGAAUGUGAUAGUCGACUCGGAUGAUACACACGAGGCAGAGACACACAGUCAGACGAUACGUGUGUUCUUGAGGAGGGAUUCUGCAGGUAAGGGUGUAAGAGUUCACGAGGUUCCACGAGAUGAGGGCGAGACAGAGACGGAGCCUAGCGAGUCCAGUGCAGCAUGAGCAGAUGUUAGCUACUCUUUGAUGAUGGUUAGAUAGGAGGUGUAGUAACUUUAUGUAUGUACAUAGAUGUAUAUAGCUAUGUGUGGUGUGUAGAUGUAUAUAUGUGUUUUGAUGAUACGGAUGCGGAGUCUAGUAGAUCGCACCGUGGCAUAGUACUAGUUGUGAUGUUUAUAUAGUAGAACAUCAGGAUUAGUACUAGGGAUUUUUGUUGUACAUAUCCCUGCUAUUUUGUAAAAGUCCUCCGAGGAGGCAUCUUUUACCUGAUGAUAUAUGGUGAUGACCUACGCGGUCAUUUAGUAAAUUUCAUGAGUUACUAUUUGUUGAGUUAAAUGUGAAUUGCUUAAGUAUGAGUUAUUUUGCAAUGAUGAUGUAUUUAAUAUAGACUUUAUGUAUUGAUAAUAGAAUGCCGCCUAAAAGAAGAAAUCGAGAACUAGCAGGUGUAUAUGAUCAGGAACCUACACCACCUCCAUCUCCACCACCUGAAAGGAGAAUAGAAGAACUUUUUCUUCGUCAGAACCCACCUACUUUUAGUGGGACAGGAAAUCCGGUAGAAGCUGAGGAAUGGAUCCGAUCUAUGGAGCGAAUCUUUCGUUUCCUAAGGUGUAAUGAUCAAGAACGUCUUUUAUGCACAUCGUUUCAACUAAAAGGCUCAGCUGACUACUGGUGGAAGGCUAGGCAAAAGACUUAUACUCCGGAACAAAUGGAGAAUUUAACUUGGGAGCAAUUCAAAACUGCUCUUGUUGACAAAUACGUUCCCCGGAGUUAUCGUAAGCAAAAGGAAAUGGAAUUUACUAAUUUGAAGCAAGGAAAGAAGACUGUUGCAGAGUAUGACCGUGAAUUCUGCGACUUAGCUCGUUAUGCUCCAUAUAAAGUAGACACAGAUGAAAAGAUGUCUGAACUUUUCUGUGCUGGACUGAGACAAGAUAUCCGAGUAAUAUUAGCAAGUCAAGAUACUUUAACUUAUGCUGAAGCUCUGAAUAGGGCACUUGACAUGGAACUAGCUAUGCAGCCCGAGAAGACACCUCAAGCACCAGANNNNNNNNNNNNNNNNNNNNNNNNNNNNNNNNNNNNNNNNNNNNNNNNNNNNNNNNNNNNNNNNNNNNNNNNNNNNNNNNNNNNNNNNNNNNNNNNNNNNNNNNNNNNNNNNNNNNNNNNNNNNNNNNNNNNNNNNNNNNNNNNNNNNNNNNNNNNNNNNNNNNNNNNNNNNNNNNNNNNNNNNNNNNNNNNNNNNNNNNNNNNNNNNNNNNNNNNNNNNNNNNNNNNNNNNNNNNNNNNNNNNNNNNNNNNNNNNNNNNNNNNNNNNNNNNNNNNNNNNNNNNNNNNNNCAAGCGGGACAUUUCUCGAACCAAUGCCCAAAUAAGCAACGAGGUAAUAGAGGGGGAAGACCGUACCCCAACCCAACUCCAAAUCUAAAGGCUAUGGAGGGAAAUUUUCCACCGCAACACAAAUAACAACAACAUAGAAAACAACACACAGCAGCAACAACAGCAACGACAACAACAGCAGCAGCAGCAGCAACAACAACCACCACAGAAGCAGCCGUUGAAUCAACAACAACACCAACGGAUUUUUGCCCUAGAGCAGAAACCUUUUGAGAAGAACCAAGGUAACCUGGCAGGUAUGGGUCAAUUAAAGGGUGUGCCUAUCAUCGUGUUAUUUGAUACUGGUGCCUCGCAUUCAUUCAUAUCUAUGCCUGCGUAGAUACCUUUGAGCUUAAUGUAGAACAGAUAAAAAUAAAUGGGGGUAAUGACUCCUCUAGGAAGGUAUCACAACUAAGCACACUGUCCUAACUUAGCUUUGAGUUAGGUCCCUUAAGAUGACAGCAAAUGUUUCAUUUAAUGCCGAUGUGGGAGUGGACAUUAUUCUUGGAAUGGAUUGGUUGACGGAAAAUUAUGCGACAUUCGAUGCGAAAAGAAAUUAUUUUCAACCACCAGGAAAAGAACCUACUUGCUUCUACGGAUGGAAAGAAAAGAGAAAACACCUGUUGUAUUAUCAGCAAUGAAACGUGAAGUUUUGCGGGAUAGGAGAAUGUAGCAUACUUGGUCUAUUUGAAUAAAAAGUAAAAUCAGAAAUAGCAUUGAUAAUGUACCAGUAGUGCGGGAGUAUAAAGAGUUUUUCCAGAAGCUUUGCCGGGUUUGCCACCGGAUAGACAAGUGGAAUUUACUAUUGAUCUCGAACCUGACACAGCUCCAAUAUCCAAAGCACCAUACAGAAUGGCUCCGAAAGAAUUGCAGGAAUUAAAAAUUCAACUGCAAGAACUUCUUGAUCUAGGAUUCAUUCGACCAAGCGUGUCUCCAUGGGGAGCACCAGUCCUGUUUGUCAAGAAGAAAGAUGGAACGUUGAGAAUGUGUGUCGAUUACCGUGAGUUAAAUAAACUCACGUUAAAGAACAAAUACCCUCUGCCAAGAAUAUACAACUUGUUUGAUCAGCUUAGAGGAGCAAGUGUCUUUUCAAAAAUGGAUUUGAGAUCUGGAUAUCACCAAUUGAAGAUACAACCAGAUGAUAUCCUUAAAACUGCUUUUUGGACAAGGUAUGGGCACUAUGAAUUCGUAGUAAUGCCUUUUGGGUUAACCAAUGCCCCAAUAGUGUUCAUGACCUUAUGAACCGUGUAUUUCACACAUAUUUGGAUAAGUUUGUAUUGGUCUUCAUAGACGAUAUUCUUAUCUACUCAAAGAGUGAAGAAGAACAUGAAGAACAUCUCAAGACUGUAUUGGAGAAAUUAAGAGCUGAAAAACUUUAUGCCAAGUUCAGCAAAUGCGAAUUUUGGUUGAGAGAAGUAAAUUUCUUGGGGCAUAUUGUCUCAUCAGAAGGAAUUAAAGUUGACCCUGCAAAAGUACAAGUUGUGCAAGAGUGGAAAUCACCCACUACAGCUAACGAAAUUCGCAGUUUCUUAGGUCUCGCUGGGUACCAUCGAAGGUUUAUUGAAGGAUUCUCUAAGAUAGCACGACUGAUGACCCAAUUACUCAAGAAAAAUACCAAAUUCAUAUGGACGAAAGAAUGUGAGAAGAGUUUUUAGGAGCUUAAGAAGAAAUUAACUACAGCCCCAGUAUUGGCCGUGCCAGAAGCUGUUAAGGAAUAUGCGAUUUAUACUGAUGCUUCAAAGAUUGGACUAGGUUGUGUGUUGAUGCAGAACGGCAAGGUCAUUGCCUAUGCAUCACGACAACUGAGACCACAUGAAUUGAAUUAUCCAACACACGAUUUGGAACUAGCAGCUGUAGUACAUGCUCUUAAAAUUUGGAGACACCAUCUCUAUGGGGCUAGGUGUGAAAUCUAUACAGAUCACAAAAGUCUCAAAUAUUUCUUUGAGCAGAAGGAUCUGAAUAUGAGACAAAGACGAUGGCUUGAAUUGGUCAAAGACUACGACUGUGGAAUCAAUUAUCAUCCAGGAAAAGCUAAUGUAGUAGCUGAUGCUUUAAGUAGAAAGAGCCAAUCCAAGCUAGGAUUUCUCCUCACACAAAGAGAAGAACUCAUCAAGGAUUUUGAAAAAUUGAAGCUAGAAGUGAUUUUGCCGCCGCAAACUAUGGAGGGUAUGAUGGCAACCUUGACAAUAACUCCUGAUCUGAGAACCAGGGUGGCCAAUGCGCAAAGAAAUGAUGAAAAGUUAGAAGGGUUACGACUCAAAAUUCGGACAGAACAAGUUAGUGGAUAUAAAGAAGCAGCAGACAAUGCAAUUUUGUUCGAGGGAAGACUUGUUGUUCCGAAUGAUAAAAGCUUAAAGGACGAAAUCAUGAGUGAAGCUCAUAAAACGCCAUAUACUGCUCACCCAGGAAGCACCAAAAUGUAUCAAGAUCUUAAACAGAAAUUCUGGUGGGAAGGAAUGAAACGAGACAUAGCUUCUUUUGUUGAACGAUGCUUGGCUUGUCAACAGGUAAAGGCGUUACACCAACGACCUUAUGGAAAGUUACAACCGUUGGAAGUUCCGGAAUGGAAAUGGGAGCAUAUAACAAUGGAUUUUGUAACUGGUCUGCCAAAGUCCAAAAGAGGAAAUACAACAAUUUGGGUAAUCGUAGACCGACUUACGAAGAGUGCUCAUUUUAUUCCAAUCCCCAUUACUUAUGGCUCUGACAAAUUGGCCCAAUUGUAUGUCCAAGAAAUAGUACGAUUACAUGGAAUACCAAUAACUAUUACGUCGGACCGAGAUUCUAAGUUUACCUCACGAUUUUGGAUGAGUCUACAGAAAGAAUUGGGCACCAAGCUGAAUUUCAGUACAGCUUUUCAUCCCCAAACUGAUGGGCAAUCUGAAAGGACCAUUCAAACUUUAGAAGAUAUGGUCAGAACCAUUGUAUUGGAUCAAAGCACGCAAUGGGAACAAGCUCUACCCCUUAUUGAGUUUGCUUAUAAUAAUAGUUUUCAAGCAACGAUCAACAUGGCACCAUAUGAAGCUCUGUAUGGGAGGAAGUGUCGAUCUCCUCUUUAUUGGGAUGAAGUGGGUGAAAGAAGAGUCUUAGGACCCGAUGCGGUGGAAGAGAUGAUUACAAUUGUCCGACAGAUUAAACAACGAAUGAAAGAGGCACAGGAUAGACAAAAAUCUUAUGCCGAUAAUCGACGAACCGAGCUGCAGUUUGAAAUGGGGGACAAAGUAUUUCUAAAAGUUUCGCCGACUAAAGGAGUAUCUAGGUUUGGAGUGAAAGGAAAGUUAAAACCGAGAUUCAUAGGACCCUAUAAGAUUUUGGAGAAAAUAGGCCCAGUCGCCUACAGAUUAGCACUGCCACCAAAUUUUGGCAACGUGCAUAACGUGUUUCACGUGUCGCAGUUGCGAAAGUAUGUCUUCGACCCCAAACAUGUCGUCCACCAAGAAAAGAUAGAAAUUGAACCAGAUAUGAGCUAUGAAGAGAGACCUGAAAUGAUUUUGGAUAACAAGAUUCAACAACUGCGAAACAAAUCCAUUAACUUGGUCAAGGUCCAGUGGAGACACCAUGGGCGAGAGGAAGCGACAUGGGAACUCGAGAACAAGAUGAGAGAGAAGUACCCCGAGUUAUUUAACGAGGUACGCAAAUUUCGGGACGAAAUUUAUUUUUAGGGGGAGAGGAUGUAAUACCCCGUAUAUUUUUAUAAUAUUUUUAUUAGUAUUUAUAUAUUUGUUAAAGGAAUUAAAUAGCUUGAGAUGCUAUUUAAUUAUUUGAGUAUUAUUUACUAAUGAGUUUAUUGGUUUAGUAAUUAAGAUUUAUUACUAAAUCAAUAGUGUGAAUAAUAUGAGAAUAUUUUAUUUUAUUUUUGUGAAGGUGAAUAGUUGUUGAUAGAUAGCUUUGUUAAAAUUUUGUAAUUGGAAAAUAUUUAUUUAAGUGUAUUUCUAGAAGAAUUUCUUUUAAUUAUAAAUUGAUGUUUUUAUGUUAUCUACUAAAUUAAGAUUAUAUAUAUAUGUUAAUAUCUUGCUUGAUUUCCAAAUGGGCCGAGUAGUAGUGGCCACCAAUUGGGUUUUUAAUUCAAUUGGAUCAAAUGGGUUUUUAUAGGAUUUGUUUUUAAUGCACAACUUCCAAAAAAAGAGCAUAGCUAAAUAUAGGUAUUAGAAUUUAGAAAUCUCAUUCCCUUGCUCUACACCUACACUGCCGAUUUUCUUCCCCAAGAAGAGAACCACCUUCCUCACCCUUCAAGUUUAAUUUCAUAGAGAAUUCAAGUGGUAGCUGCAAUACCUUGAAAGAAAAAGGUGAAUUUCUUCGAUUCUAUGUUUUCCUACAAUUCUAGCUUGAAGAAAAUUUAUUCCUUGAAUUCUAGGGUUCUUCGAAAUUUGGGGAUUAUAUUCUAGAGUUGAAGUAUGACUUAAUAUUGAUAUAUAUUAUGUUUUUGAUGUUCCUAACAUGAUUAUGGUGGUUAAUUGUGUGAAUUCUUACUUGAAUUAAUUCUUGCUCAAGUUAGUAUGAACCCUAGGUUUGAGUUCGAAAAUUUUGAUUAUGUUCUUGAAUAAUUAAGUUCAUAUAUGUGUUAUUGAGCUGGAAUUAUGUCAUAUAUGAAUAAAUUAUGAGUUUACACCACAUAGUUUGGGAGAUUGAUGUUGUUAGUUUAGUGGAAAUUGGGGCUUUUGAGUUAAGAAGGUUUAUGUGCUAUUAUUUAAUGGAUGUGGGUAUAUUAUGAUGUGAUUCUAUUAAGUAUAGAAUUUGAACAGCUCUACCUCGUUCUCUUGUAAGGACUUAAUAUAUGGAAACUAGAGAAAUGAUGAAGUUGUUUGUUCUUAUGCUUAUUGUUGAGAUUAGUGGCUUUGAUAAUUGAGUUUAAAUUGAGAUCAUUGAGAUUUUAUUUCAAAGAAAUUGAGGUGAUUGAUAAAGUUAGUUUAUUAAACUAAAUAUGUAUCUAUUUAUUGAGAAUUGACAAAUAUCUAUGAGUUUAUUCUUUGUUUUCUUAUUGAGUUAAGAGGAGUAAGUGGUGUUAUUGUAUUGAUGAUAUGAUGUGAGGAAACGUUGGGAUACUAAGUGAAUAGCAAACAUGAGUUAUUGUUGUAAUAUUAUAUAUAUAUAUAUAUAUAUAUAUAUAUAUAUAUAUAUAUAUUUUCUUACUUAUUUUUCUUACAAAAAAAUCUUUAUCUAUUUAAAGGUUCCGGCUAGGAACGAGCCUGACACUAGAGUACGAAGUAAGAGAAACAUAUCAGGUGGGCUUACUAACUCAAGAAACAAUGAUGCAUACUUUAUUAUAUAAAGUUUAAGUGUAUGCAUUUAUUUUCAAAUUGUUGACUUGCCAAUGUUUAAGAUUUGUAUGAUACCAUCUACAUAGAAGAACGAAUUCGGGUCCUGAGCGAGUCAGGAUUUGUGUACACAGAGUGACGGUUAACCUUGAGUUAGCUUGUCGUUACGUUUGGGAAGGAGGCCUACUUCUCAACGUGUUUAUUGAGACUAGUAGAUAUGGUACAUACUUACAUGAGAACUUAGUCUGCGCAGACACUUUCAAAUACUAUGUAAAAACAGUUUAGCAAACACAGGUUGCUUCAGAAAAUCCCUUGUGUAUUGCUUAAAGUGGCAAGUUCAAUAUAUAGCAUUAUCAUGCAGAGUUUUAAAUGUUUUCGGCAUAUGUUCACUGAGUGCUUGUGGUACUCAGCCCUGCAUAUCUUUCUAAAUGUGCAGGUUAAGUUUGGAUGAAGAUGGAAGUGUGCUGAGCUGGAGCUUUUUGUUUAUGUAAAUAGUAAUAGGCUCAGGAUGUUGUGUCUUCAUACAUAAUGUCCAAUGAUGUACUCCGCUGCAACACUUUAUUUCUCU